rnacentral:rRNA from 1 species
UACGUAGGGUGCAAGCGUUAAUCGGAAUUACUGGGCGUAAAGCGUGCGCAGGCGGUGAUGUAAGACAGAUGUGAAAUCCCCGGGCUCAACCUGGGAACUGCAUUUGUGACUGCAUCGCUGGAGUACGGCAGAGGAGGAUGGAAUUCCGCGUGUAGCAGUGAAAUGCGUAGAUAUGCGGAGGAACACCGAUGGCGAAGGCAAUCCCCUGGGCCUGUACUGACGCUCAUGCACGAAAGCGUGGGGAGCAAACAGG